CGGGCACAUCUGAGCAAUGACUUCCAGACAGGCCUCAUUCAGGAAAUGACAGCAUGCCAACUCAAGGCACACCAACUGGGAACCGCACACUUUCAAGAACCUACUCCAAAUAAGGAAUAAGACAAAUAGGAAAAAAAGGUGACAUUACCCCAUGAGGUAUCAAAAUACAGGAAUGGAAGAGGUGACUUAAGGCUGCAGUGGCUUCAGCGCAUAGAUUUCCUCCUUGGAGAAUCGCCCUAUCCCAUGUCCAUACAUCUCCCGCUUCACGAUGCCCCUGGUGAGGUGACUGAGGAUCCACUUGAGAAGAUCACUGAGCGGGCCUGAGAGACAAAGCAUCUUCUGGGUCUCCUGGAGAUUGUCAACCCACUGGCAAUAAGCAAUAGUCC